UCCGCAUAGGCUCCGAUUGCCGUCGAUAUUUUAUUUUUAUUGAAAAUAUAGAAUGUACCAAUUCUACUACAAACAAAAAGGAACAACUCCCGUUAAGACCUUUUAAAAACAAAGAUGCAGAUUAUAAUACCAAUAAAGGAUUAUCA